GAGAUAACUCCUACGGGAGGCAGCAGUGGGGAAUAUUGGACAAUGGGCGCAAGCCUGAUCCAGCCAUGCCGCGUGUGUGAAGAAGGCCUUCGGGUUGUAAAGCACUUUCAGCGAGGAGGAAGGGGUUGUAGUUAAUAGCUGCAACUUUUGACGUUACUCGCAGAAGAAGCACCGGCUAACUCUGUGCCAGCAGCCGCGGUAAUACAGAGGGUGCAAGCGUUAAUCGGAAUUACUGGGCGUAAAGCGCACGCAGGCGGUUGGUUAAGUCAGAUGUGAAAGCCCCGGGCUCAACCUGGGAAUUGCAUUUGAAACUGGCCAACUAGAGUAUGUGAGAGGGGGGUAGAAUUCCAAGUGUAGCGGUGAAAUGCGUAGAGAUUUGGAGGAAUACCAGUGGCGAAGGCGGCCCCCUGGCACAAUACUGACGCUCAGGUGCGAAAGCGUGGGGAGCAAACAGGAUUAGAUACCCUAGUAGUCCUCCACU
rnacentral:rRNA from 1 species